UACGGGGGGAGCAAGCGUUGUUCGGAUUUACUGGGCGUAAAGGGCGCGUAGGCGGUCAGCACAAGUCAGUUGUGAAAUCUCCGGGCUUAACUCGGAAAGGUCAACUGAUACUGUGCGACUAGAGUGCAGAAGGGGCAACUGGAAUUCUCGGUGUAGCGGUGAAAUGCGUAGAUAUCGAGAGGAACACCUGCGGCGAAGGCGGGUGCUGGGCUGACACUGACGCUGAUGCGCGAAAGCCAGGGGAGCGAACGGG
rnacentral:rRNA from 1 species